rnacentral:rRNA from 1 species
GACGUAGGGCGCGAGCGUUGUCCGGAUUUAUUGGGCGUAAAGGGCUCGUAGGCGGCCAACUAAGUCGGACGUGAAAUCCCUCAGCUUAACUGGGGAACUGCGUCCGAUACUGAUUGGCUUGAAUCCGGAAGAGGGAUGCGGAAUUCCAGGUGUAGCGGUGAAAUGCGUAGAUAUCUGGAGGAACACCGGUGGCGAAGGCGGCAUCCUGGGUCGGUAUUGACGCUGAGGAGCGAAAGCCAGGGGAGCAAACGGG